GACUAACGCUGGCGGCGUGCCUAACACAUGCAAGUCGAACGAAGCAGCAAUGCUUAGUGGCAGACGGGUGAGUAACGCGUAGAUAAUGUGCCCUCUUGCGGGGGGAUACCGUUUCGAAAGGAACGUUAAUACCGCAUAAAGUCCUUAGGAGGCAUCUCCCUAGGACCAAACUUCCGGGGCGGGAGGAGCAAUCUGCGUACUAUCAGCUAGUUGGUGAGGUAAUGGCUCACCAAGGCUACGACGGUUAACUGGUCUGAGAGGAUGAUCAGUCACACUGGAACUGAGACACGGUCCAGACUCCUACGGGAGGCAGCAGUGAGGAAUAUUGCGCAAUGGGCGAAAGCCUGACGCAGCGACGCCGCGUGGAGGAUGAAGGAUUUUCGGUCUGUAAACUCCUGUCAGUAGGGAAGAGAAUGGACGGUACCUACUGAGGAAGCUUCGGCUAACUACGUG
rnacentral:rRNA from 1 species